AGAGUUUGAUCCUGGCUCAGAGCGAACGCUGGCGGCAGGCCUAACACAUGCAAGUCGAGCGCCGUAGCAAUACGGAGCGGCAGACGGGAGAGUAACACGUGGGAACGUGCCCUUCAGUUCGGAACAACCCAGGGGAAACUUGGGCUAAUACCGGAUACGUCCGGAAAGGAGAAAGAUUUAUCGCUGAAGGAUCGGCCCGCGUCUGAUUAGCUAGUUGGUGGGGUAAUGGCCCACCAAGGCGGACGGAUCAGUAGCUGGGUCUGAGGAGGAUGAUCAGCCCUCACUGGGGACUGAGGACACGGGCCCAGACUCCUACGGGGAGGCAGCAGUGGGGAAUAUUGGACAAUGGGCGCAAGCCUGAUCCAGCCAUGCCGCGUGGGUGAUGAAGGCCCUAGGGUUGUAAAGCCCUUUCGGCGGGGAGGAUAAUGACGGUACCCG
rnacentral:rRNA from 1 species